AAACAACCCUGCCGACCUGUGCGUUAAUCGCCGGUUUCGUGGCUGUGAGAAAACAUUCCACGGAUCUUCCAAGGGCGCACCUGGCAGCGGGUCACAUGACGCCGCAGACGGACAUAUGGCCAGACAGACGGAUGCUGCGAGCUCCUUGAAGUCUUUUGGCACACGAGAGAGACUUAAUGGCGCCAUGUUGGCUUUUCUGCGCUUGGCGGCGCUUCAACUCGCUGCGGCAAUUCCGCCGAAGCUUCUCUACGGGGUCAAAUUACAGAGAGGCGAGAAUGAAAGGCCGGGGCCGCCGAUGAUUGCGCCCCCCCGGCUCCCCCCUUUACUUGCUUCCUUGUCUGCAGCCAUCAGAGAAGAAACACUGUGAUUAUGUGCAGUCACAGAAGCACACAAGAUCUGCCAAAAGAUCCAUUUUUGGAAAAUCGCUUCAUUUUUACAGCUCAGAGAAAGAAAAAUAAAAUCCAUAUUUUAUUUUUUUUGGUCACCUGCAGUGAAGUACAAAUUUGUGGAUGAAAGUACAUUGCUCAGGUAUUGCAUCUGCACUUCACGUGAGUACUUUUGAUUGGGGGGGGUACUGAAAUAUCUAAAUUUUAUACUUCUUACUGCAUCAAAAUAUGCUUGUGACUUUUUUUUCAAGUCUUUGUGAAAUGAUGUGGAAAAAGACAAACGGAAAUCAAAUCAACUGUGUUGAGAUCUUGAGCGAAUUAAUUUUUCGGUUCUAACAAGGCAGCAUUAAAAAAAAAAAAAAUGCAGACAGCAGUCGUCAUGUGGGAAUGUGAACCAAACAGCAUUAACAAUAUUCCCUAAUACUACAAGCUUCUGGCUUUAUUAUUUUUUCAUCUAAAACAUAAAAUUAAUACAGAAAAGAGGUGUUGCAUGUGUGCUUCUGCUUUUUUUCCCGUUUUUAUCUAUUUAUUCUUGCUCGACUCUGCGAGUCGUCGGGCCACGUGUGGCCAUCUGCCGUACGAUUCUGGGGCCCGUUUCGUCCUCACGGAAGCCAGUUUGAAGCGAGCGCGUCUUUACGUGUUUCCUCUUGGCCGCGCCGCUGACUUGUGCGACGGGCCAACUCUGAACCGAGCCGAGGCUCCCUCGCGUCGCCGCAGGCCUGCCCGGAGGCCAGGAUGGAUUUAUCUGGAUGGCACCACGGGGCCGGAUGCAGAGAAGACGCCAGCUGCGCGCGGUACCUUCCCGCGAUCUGCCUUGCUUUGUUUCUAUCCCGCAUACGCGUGUGAUAUCGAGCUAGUUUGUGUGAAUAUUUGAGUUGUUGACACCCAAAAGGCACAAAGUGAUGCAUUGAAUUCUCUUUGCUACCCUUUUAUCGGAAUUGUGCACAUUUCCAUCAUGGUGUAG